UUGCUACUUGUGAGUUUGUGCUUUUGAGUUUAUAAAAUGUUGUUUAUGUUCAAAGUUUGCUAAGUUUUAAUUUUAUCUCAUUUAAAAUAGUUUUGUGAUGGAGUCCCGUUAUUAGAUAAGCAGUUAUUUUCAUCUGGGCUUUUUGUCGAACACUUGGCGAACUGAUUUUCGCUAUUCUUCUCCACCGUCUUUACUUCAC
rnacentral:lncRNA from 1 species